CUACGGGAGGCAGCAGUGAGGAAUAUUGCCCAAUGGAGGAAACUCUGAGGCAGCGACGCCGCGUGGGUGAAGAAGGCCUUCGGGUCGUAAAGCCCUUUUCUGCGUGACGAGAAAGGGACGGUAGCGCAGGAAAAAGUCUCGGCUAACUACGUGCCAGCAGCCGCGGUAAAACGUAGGAGGCAAGCGUUAUCCGGAGUUACUGGGCGUAAAGCGCGCGCAGGCGGACGGGUAAGUGGGUUGUGAAAGCGCUCGGCUAAACCGGGCGAGGACAAAUCAGACUGCCGGUCUAGAGGCGGAUAGAGGAGCGUGGAAUUCCGGGUGUAGCGGUGAAAUGUGUAGAGAUCCGGAGGAACACCAGUGGUGCAAACGACGCUCUGGGUCCGAACUGACGCUGAGGCGCGAAAGCGUGGGGAGCGAACGGGAUUAGAAACCCUUGUAGUCC
rnacentral:rRNA from 1 species